GUCAACAAAUCAGUCUAUAGAUGAGGUACAUUCAUUGUCAAUAUUAAUUAUGUGUACAUGUAUUUGUGCACUUAAAAAAUAAAUAUCAUUAUAACAGUUAUUGAAUUUUACAGGAAACUUUUCCCCCUUUUUACAUUAUAUUAUCACAAUGUAGCCAAAAUAAGACUUGGUAUAAAAAGCACAAAACAAUUUUAUGACAUUAACAUUUAAUUUGUGAAAACUUUGUUAUAUAUAUACAUGUAAAUAAGAUAUGCCAUGCUGGUAUGAGUACAAUGAUCCAAGUUACAAAAGGUUGAAGGUUAUACUCAUAUAUGAAGCCGCAUGCUUCAAACAAAAUUUUAAGGUUAGCAAACAAGUUUAAACUACCAACUUAAAUCCAAAUUUACAUAAAAUACACGUAUAAAUGAGAUACCCAUAUCACAUAAAACAUGUACUCACAUAAUGUAUUUAUUGAUGUAAACUUUUUGUUUUAGAGUGACGUUACUGAAUGGAGACAAAAAGUUGGUACUAUGAAACAGAUCACCAGACCACGGAUUAUCACGAAUUAACAGGCAAACUUUCGUGGUGUUGAUAUUUGUGACCAACUUCGGUCAAAAUAUCCUGUUGGAAGGAGCUCUAAAAAGUGGUGGAAAUUUUUGUUUAACUUUCUCACCAAUAUUUGUAUUAUAAAUGGCUUUGUUUUGUAUGUCCACUUCAAUCAGGUGAAAAAGAAAAAAAAGAGGUACACUCAGCUUGAUUUCCGGAUAAAUUUGGUUGGACAUUUAAUCAAUGGUUACUCCUACACUAAAAAGAAAACCGCAGGUUUGGUGGUAUACCCAAUGAACAUGAGCAACCCUAACUUGCAUAGACAUACCAGAUUAAAAAGAUAAAAAUCAAGUUGUAAAUUUUGUACAAAACAUGGUGAAAAAAAAGGAAAGAGACAAUCCAUGGAUGUAAUAAAUGUGAUACACAUUUAUGUAGUUUUGAAUGCCAUAGAAGGUUCCAUGCUGUCAUUGGUGUUGUUGUUAUGGAAGAGUGAAGCUGUGAAAUUAUGAACUGUAUUUUAUGAUUACUUAAUCCCUAAAUUUGAUAUUAAUAACCUUAAUCUGAAAUAAAGAAUAGAUCUAUGUAAAUCCAAG
rnacentral:lncRNA from 1 species